rnacentral:rRNA from 1 species
AUUGAACGCUGGCGGCAGGCCUAACACAUGCAAGUCGAACGAGUGGCGGACGGGUGAGUAAUGUAUGGGAAACUGCCUGAUGGAGGGGGAUAACUACUGGAAACGGUAGCUAAUACCGCAUACCAGCGGGUGUGCCCAGAUGGGAGUAGCUAGUAGGUGGGGUAACGGCUAACCUAGGCGACGAUCCCUCGCGGGUCUGAUAGGAUGACCAGCCACCCUGGAACUGAUACACGGUCCAGACUCCUACGGGAGGCAGCAGUGGGGAAUAUUGCACAAUGGGCGCAAGCCUGAUGCAGCCAUGCCGCGUGUAUGAAGAAGGCCUUCGGGUUGUAAAGUACUUUCAGCGGGGAGGCGUUACCCGCAGAAGAAGCACCGGCUAACUCCGUGCCAGCAGCCGCGGUAAUAC